rnacentral:rRNA from 1 species
CUCAGAUUGAACGCUGGCGGCAGGCCUAACACAUGCAAGUCGAACGGUAACAGGAAACAGCUUGCUGUUUCGCUGACGAGUGGCGGACGGGUGAGUAAUGUCUGGGAAACUGCCUGAUGGAGGGGGAUAACUACUGGAAACGGUAGCUAAUACCGCAUAACGUCGCAAGACCAAAGAGGGGGACCUUCGGGCCUCUUGCCAUCGGAUGUGCCCAGAUGGGAUUAGCUAGUAGGUGGGGUAACGGCUCACCUAGGCGACGAUCCCUAGCUGGUCUGAGAGGAUGACCAGCCACACUGGAACUGAGACACGGUCCAGACUCCUACGGGAGGCAGCAGUGGGGAAUAUUGCACAAUGGGCGCAAGCCUGAUGCAGCCAUGCCGCGUGUAUGAAGAAGGCCUUCGGGUUGUAAAGUACUUUCAGCGGGGAGGAAGGGAGUAAAGUUAAUACCUUUGCUCAUUGACGUUACCCGCAGAAGAAGCACCGGCUAACUCCGUGCCAGCAGCCGCGGUAAUACGGAGGGUGCAAGCGUUAAUCGGAAUUACUGGGCGUAAAGCGCACGCAGGCGGUUUGUUAAGUCAGAUGUGAAAUCCCCGGGCUCAACCUGGGAACUGCAUCUGAUACUGGCAAGCUUGAGUCUCGUAGAGGGGGGUAGAAUUCCAGGUGUAGCGGUGAAAUGCGUAGAGAUCUGGAGGAAUACCGGUGGCGAAGGCGGCCCCCUGGACGAAGACUGACGCUCAGGUGCGAAAGCGUGGGGAGAAAACAGGAUUAGAUACCCUGGUAGUCCACGCCGUAAACGAUGUCGACUUGGAGGUUGUGCCCUUGAGGCGUGGCUUCCGGAGCUAACGCGUUAAGUCGACCGCCUGGGGAGUACGGCCGCAAGGUUAAAACUCAAAUGAAUUGACGGGGGCCCGCACAAGCGGUGGAGCAUGUGGUUUAAUUCGAUGCAACGCGAAGAACCUUACCUGGUCUUGACAUCCACGGAAGUUUUCAGAGAUGAGAAUGUGCCUUCGGGAACCGUGAGACAGGUGCUGCAUGGCUGUCGUCAGCUCGUGUUGUGAAAUGUUGGGUUAAGUCCCGCAACGAGCGCAACCCUUAUCCUUUGUUGCCAGCGGUCCGGCCGGGAACUCAAAGGAGACUGCCAGUGAUAAACUGGAGGAAGGUGGGGAUGACGUCAAGUCAUCAUGGCCCUUACGACCAGGGCUACACACGUGCUACAAUGGCGCAUACAAAGAGAAGCGACCUCGCGAGAGCAAGCGGACCUCAUAAAGUGCGUCGUAGUCCGGAUUGGAGUCUGCAACUCGACUCCAUGAAGUCGGAAUCGCUAGUAAUCGUGGAUCAGAAUGCCACGGUGAAUACGUUCCCGGGCCUUGUACACACCGCCCGUCACACCAUGGGAGUGGGUUGCAAAAGAAGUAGGUAGCUUAACCUUCGGGAGGGCGCUUACCACUUUGUGAUUCAUGAC